rnacentral:rRNA from 1 species
CGCGUAGACGGCUUUAUAAGUCUGGAGUGAAAGUCCUGCUUUCAAGGUGGGAAUUGCUUUGGAGACUGUAUGGCUUGAGUGCGGAAGAGGUAAGUGGAAUUCCCAGUGUAGCGGUGAAAUGCGUAGAGAUUGGGAAGAACACCAGUGGCGAAGGCGACUUACUGGGCCGUAACUGACGUUGAUGCGCGAAAGCGUGGGGAGCGAACA